rnacentral:rRNA from 1 species
AGCGAACGCUGGCGGCAGGCCUAACACAUGCAAGUCGAACGGAUCCUUCGGGAUUAGUGGCGGACGGGUGAGUAACACGUGGGAACGUGCCCUUUGGUUCGGAACAACUCAGGGAAACUUGAGCUAAUACCGGAUGUGCCCUUCGGGGGAAAGAUUUAUCGCCAUUGGAGCGGCCCGCGUCUGAUUAGCUAGUUGGUGAGGUAACGGCCCACCAAGGCGACGAUCAGUAACUGGUCUGAGAGGAUGAUCAGCCACACUGGGACUGAGACACGGCCCAGACUCCUACGGGAUGCAGCAGUGCGGAAUCGUGCGCAAUGGGCGAAAGCCUGACGCAGCCAUGCCGCGUGAAUGAUGAAGUUCUUAGGAUUGUAAAAUUCUUUCAGCGGGGACGAUAAUGACGGUACCCGCAGAAGAAGCUCCGGCUAACUUCGUG